ACGCACGCUGGCGGCGCGCCUCACACAUGCAAGUCGAACGGAGCUGAGAGAAGCUUGCUUUUCUUAGCUUAGUGGCGAACGGGUGAGUAACGCGUGAGUAACCUGCCCUGGAGUGGGGGACAACAGUUGGAAACGACUGCUAAUACCGCAUAAGCCCACGAUCCGGCAUCGGAUUGAGGGAAAAGGAUUUAUUCGCUUCAGGAUGGACUCGCGUCCAAUUAGCUAGUUGGUGAGGUAACGGCCCACCAAGGCGACGAUUGGUAGCCGGACUGAGAGGUUGAACCGCCACAUUGGGACUGAGACACGGCCCAGACUCCUACGGGAGGCAGCAGUGGGGGAUAUUGCACAAUGGGGGAAACCCUGAUGCAGCGACGCCGCGUGGAGGAAGAAGGUUUUCGGAUUGUAAACUCCUGUCGUUAGGGACGAUAAUGACGGUACCUAACAAGAAAGCACCGGCUAACUACGUG
rnacentral:rRNA from 1 species